UACGAGGGGGGCAAGCGUUGUUCAGAAUUAUUGGGCGUAAAGAGCUCGUAGGCGGUUUGUCGCGUCUGCUGUGAAAACCCGAGGCUCAACCUCGGGCCUGCAGUGGGUACGGGCAGACUAGAGUGCGGUAGGGGAGAUUGGAAUUCCUGGUGUAGCGGUGGAAUGCGCAGAUAUCAGGAGGAACACCAAUGGCGAAGGCAGAUCUCUGGGCCGUAACUGACGCUGAGGAGCGAAAGCAUGGGGAGCGAACAGG
rnacentral:rRNA from 1 species